ensembl:lncRNA uncharacterized LOC107210488
CCCUGAGCACAUUUUGCACUCAGAUUAAUAACCACUUUAUCAUCACAAGCCUUCCUGGGGCUGCCCAUUUAGGGUUUUUGUUUUGGUUUGGUUUUGUUUCUUUCAUAAAACAGGGUCAGCAUGGUUCUCUCUAGCAUUUGUAAAGAAGUACAUGAAUGAUCUGUCCCCUUUAUUCAGAUCAUUCAUUUCACAUUUGGAAGCUGGCCUUAUUUUCAGUAAUCAGGCUGGUACAUAGAAGCUGGCUGGUGUAAGUGGUCUGGUUGGGGAUUUUUCUGGUUUUGGUUGUUUUUUUCAGUAUGUGAUUCCAGGCGGGUCGAGGGGAGCUGGGGUUUGCUUGCAGUCAGUGCUCAGGAGUGCCAUCAGAAGGAGAUCUCCGGCAGCGCUUGCGCUGUUUCCAUAUCACAAACUGGGAGCGCAACCCACGGCGCUGGGCUCGGUGUGAGGCUCCUGAGAUGAGUGUGUGCAGAGACCUGGGUUAGCUGCCUCUCGCCACUGCAGGGGGCUCCCAGCUGCUGGAUAGCCUCUCCUCCUCUCCUGCCUUCACUGCUAACUCUGCUGGGGCCAAGUCAAGCUGCCCAACUUCUCAACGGGGCUUGGAGCGCUUUCUUUUUGAUGUGUCUGGACAGAGACUUUUAAGCCUUGCAGGUAGAGGAGAAUCCAUAAUAAGAUAAAGCAAAAAAGAGGAGGAAGGUUUUCUUUCCCAGUCCAGAAAAAAUAACCUGUUGGAUUAUAAUCUGCAAACAGUGGAGAGUGCCAGCAUGAGCAACGAGGGGCCAGAGAAUCCCAUCGCAUCUACACUGACCGAGGGCAUGAAGAGGAAGAGGGGGAGACCAAAGAAGAAGCCACAGGAGGAUGGUGGAAACACAGCUGUUAUCCCACAGGAUGGUGUGGAACCACAGCCAGUGAAGAAACCACGAGGAAGGCCAAAAGGAAGCAAGAAACUGACUACUAUAACUGGGGGAAUGAAAGAUCCUUCUGCUGGGAAAAGGCCAAGAGGGAGACCCCGCAAGUGGCCUCAAGCAGUGGUCCAAGAAGGAGAAUCUGAGGGUGGGAAUCCUCUGGAAAGCAGUGACUCGAAUUUGAACUCUGCACCAGCCACACAAGGCCUCACUGGUUCCAGGUCUGGCAAAACCACUGGUCUUAGGAGAUGUCUGAGUAACAUCCCUGCUGCAGCUCAGUAGAGUCCCACCUGCUCAUGUCUUGCUGAAGCCAGAGGACUGGAAAGCAAACAGGACUUCCAAUGUUGUAUUUGAGAUUCAUUUGUGAUAAUUUCAGCCAAGUUCUCUCCUGUUGCCUGUGGACUUGCUUACCCCAAACACCCAAACAAGGAUUUAGAGGAAGAAAUGGCAAAUGCCUUGUUGGAGAGUUGCCUUUUACAGUUUGUAGUAUAUCCUUUGUGAGUCUAACAAUUUUUCUUUAAAAUACUUGUAUAACCUGGUGCCUUCCCCUGACACAGAGAGCAGUAUUUCAACAGAAGUUGACUCAGCAAUUACAGAUACAGGAAAGGAAAUGUAUUUACACAUCUAUUACACAGCCAAUGGCUGAGCUUGUCUGCUGUAUCACCUCUGGCAGACUGAUGGAGCAGUGCCACCAGUUAAGUUUUGCUGUGUUACCCAUAGGGAUUGCAUCUGAAAGACAGUCUUUGAGUCCUUUAUUAACUAGUUCAGAAAGAAAAGCCUUCAUGGCAUUUCCAGCUUGCCCCAGUGGCCAGUAACUUGCAUGCUUUAGGGGAAAGUUUGCACCCUGAUGUCUUAGGGAUUGAUUCUGAAAUGUUUAUCUUAAACAAAAAUUGUUAUGUGAACAGCUCAGGGCCUUCUUCUAUAUCUUCUGGCCUAGUGGCUUUCCCCCUGAGUUGGAUAGCAGCUCUAAGUGCACAGUGCUCACAAGCUUAGUCACAGCCACUGGAUUUGAUCCCUUCAAAGGAGUGUUUUUAAGGAACCAGUUCUACAAAAGUUGCUUCCUUGCAGAGCCUCGGGAUUACAUUUAAAUUAUUCCAGUUCAGUCCCUAACAUGCGUGUGUGAGGUCCUCUAGUGUCACAACUAUGCAAAUGAAAGCUGCUGAUAGUUUAGUUUUGGGAGACAGCAAUAGCCAGUUGGUUUGAGAUUGUUGCUGGCUGCUCUGUUUCACACUGUUUGCAGGUUUUGUGCUUUUGGUGUCAGAGCUGAACUUGUUAAAUUCUGAGGAAUUGAGGGUAUUUCCAAUAUCCAGUUGCAAAUAGUGAAAUCCCGGUGGUAUUUUCCAUCUCCUGGAUGUUUUGCCUGCCUAUUAAAGGGACAAAGUGGGUAUUUCAAUUAUCUCUGACAGGAUGUAAAAUUGGCUAGCUUUACAGUGUUAAAUAUUUAAACAGAACAUAAUUUGCUUUAAAUUUAUGGUGGUGCAGAGCAGAAAGCCAUGAAAUGGAUGUAUAUAUUGAACUCAUUUAUUAUCUUUUCAUCAGAGUUCUGUUCCCUUGGCAAGUAUUUAUUUAACACAAGAAAAUGUAUGCAGAAUUAAGAAGGGCUGAUUGGAAAGAUAAUGGGGGAAAAGUGUUUUUUUUUCUUUUUAGGUCAUCUUGUUCAGUCCACCCAGUUUAGUACUGAUGAGUCCUUAUCCCAUUAAUUCUGCUUAGUAGUGAUGAGAUUCCCAGUCCUAAUUCUGUGUGGUGUCUGAUUUGCCCUAAGGGAACUCUCUUGUGUAUGGAGCUUGGUGGUCACAGCAGAAAACUGCAUCACAGCUAAUCUUUGUGCCUCCACUACCAAAUAGCAGAGAAAUCAAGGACUAAAUGGAUUAGAUCACAGGGACUGACCUAAAUCCUGUGCUAUGGGAUGAGCUGUGCUGCCAGAUACGAGGAGGAGUUUGACCCCCAGCUGGUGCUGUGGGGAUAAUUCCAGGUGGGACGUGACACAAGUGAGUCUGUGCUGCUGAUGGUUACAUGAGAAGGGGAAUUCUGCUGCUCUCCAGUGCACACACAGGUUCAGCUGCAGUUUAUGUCUGCAUUCAAAGGCCACUCCAGUAGCAGACCAAAAUGUUUUACCAACUUCUGUGCCUGAUUUCCAGUUGAAUUGGCAGGUUCAGUGUCUGUUUGCAAGGCUGUGCUGCCUAUUUAUUUAACCCCUGCUACCUGAGAGUAAUAGCUGUUGCAGUGUGAGACUGGAACUUCAGCUUCUAAAUGGAUUAGGGAUUACAUCUGUAAAAGACUCAAGCUUUUCCUGUGACAUCAGACAGUCCUUUCUCAGCUGGUGGCAUGGAAUAGGGGUGCAAACUGCCUUGGCUAGAUAGUAAAUCCAUCUGCUUUAGGUCAGCAGUAUUCCUUUGGGAAGUACCUGCAAAGUACUUCUCUUAAAACUAAAAAAAUCCCCCAAAAAUCUAGUCUUUGCUACCUCUUACUACUCUGCUGAAAAACCACAGUAAAAAACUUGUUUCCAUGAAAAUGCAAGUGCUGCAGGAGAACAAACAGAAUUCCACUCUUUUAGGAGCUCUUCUGUGUGCCCAUAGCUUCAGCUUCCAUGUUUACACAGAGAAUUAGAAUGGAAGUCAAUGUCUAUGAAAGGGGCAGAAGUCCAGACAUCUUCAGGGAGCUGGGAUCUCUCACUGGAUCACUUGGAUUGUCUUCUUUGAAAUUAUAAACAUUUUUAUUACCUAUAUAGUUAAUUACCUUUUCUGUAUAGACAGACCUACCUCGAGGCAAGUAUACAUCAAGUUUUUUUUUAAGCUCAGGCAGUUUUGGUCUGACUUGGCCAAAAAUAAAAGGUCAUUGCAGUAAGUUAAAUCA